AGCUAGCUGAGAUUUUAUUUUGGACCAAAAAAAAAGCAAUUGAAUUGUUUUUCAGCUGGAGGCAUGGGCAAGGGGGGUCCCCAGGCAGUAAACUCCCGGCGGGUGGGCUGAGGGCUAGGUCUGAGCGUCGGUGGGCUGAGAGCUGA